AGUAAUGUCUGGGAAACUGCCUGAUGGAGGGGGAGUAACUACUGGAAACGGUAGCUAAUACCGCAUAAUGUCGCAAGACCAAAGAGGGGGACCUUCGGGCCUCUUGCCAUCGGAUGUGCCCAGAUGGGAUUAGCUAGUAGGUGGGGUAACGGCUCACCUAGGCGACGAUCCCUAGCUGGUCUGAGAGGAUGACCAGCCACACUGGAACUGAGACACGGUCCAGACUCCUACGGGAGGCAGCAUG
rnacentral:rRNA from 1 species